GCAUAACCAAAACUUUCCGAUGGGAGUUGGAGCACUGCCCCCAUGAACCACAACAGAUGAAGGUGUGACUACAGAUAAAUAGGAUUCCGCAGGUGUUGGCUCCACCUGAGCAUUUGUUCUCUUGCACACGAGUCUGAAGUUUGGAGAUGUCCGGUAAAUCAGGAGGCUGUCAUGGCAAAAAAAGCCAUGGCAAAAAAAGCCAUGGCAAAAAAGACCAUGACAAAGAAGGCCAUGGACAUGGACAUGGACAUGGGGGUGGUGGUAAAUCCCACAAACCUGGAGAAAAGUGCAGAAAAAAGCGAAAGCAAGGCCACUGCCAUACAAAAUGUCACAAGAAGGGGAAAUCCGGUAAUGGGUCCUCCAGCUCCUGCAGCAGCAGCAGCAGCAGCAGCAGCAGCAGCAGCAGCAGCGACUCCGACUAGAUUUCUGGACGAAGCAACCUGGAGACCUUCGUCCUCUUGCCUGUGCACAACGAUCUGUUUACUUUGAAGCCAAAUGAUUAUUUACAGUCACACGUUGUGAUCUUGAAACUCAAAUGCAAGUUUGGGCUUUCAUGGUUUUAUUGGGGGGUUAUUAAAUUCUGAUGUAAUAAGUGAAAUUAAAGAUUGAUGGAUUCUCUCUGAAUAGCUAAAGUCGUUUGACCUUUUCAACUUGUUGAUUUUGUGUAUCGGCUUUUCAUAACUUUUUCAGUGUGUGAAUAAAAUGGCUUUCAAAUGAU